GGGGUGGAAAAGAAACUAACAAGGAUUUUCUUAGUAGCGGCGAGCGAAAAGAAAAUAGUUCAGCACUAAGUCACUUUGUUUUUUAUAUGGACAAAUGUGAGAUGCAGUGUAUGGAAUGUUAUUUUUCUAGUAUGAGAAAUUAACGACUUAAGUCCUUCUUAAAUGAGGCCAUUUACCCAAAGAGGGUGCCAGGCCCGUAUAACGUUAAUGAUUACUAGAUGACAUUUCCAAAGAGUCGUGUUGCUUGAUAGUGCAGCACUAAGUGGGUGGUAAACUCCAUCUAAAACUAAAUAUAACCAUGAGACCGAUAGUAAACAAGUACCGUGAGGGAAAGUUGAAAAGAACUCUGAAUAGAGAGUUAAAUAGUACGUGAAACUGCUUAGAGGUUAAGCCCGAUGAACCUGAAUAUCCAUUAUGGAAAAUUCAUCAUUAUGAUUGUAAUAUGUUUUUAUAUGUAUAUUAUAUUUUAAUUAUAUAUAUGUAUAUAUAUAUGAAAAUCGAAAUAUUAUAAUAAUGAUGCGCAUUUUUUCCAUUAAAGGACAUUGUAAUCUAUUAACAUUUAUUAUUUAUCAUAAAAUCAUUUUAUGCAUAAGUUUAUUCAAGUAUUUUGAUUUUAUAUCAAUAUAAGAGAAUAAAUAUGCAUUUGAUUUGAUAAAAGUGUUGAUAGAUAUAUAUUAUAUAGUGCUUUUAAAUAUUAUAAUAUAUAUUAUAAUAACAUAUUAAAUCUAUAGAUUUUUAUGUUUAUUAUAUGCACUUAUAUGAUUAACAAUGCGAAAGAUUCAGGAUACCUUCGGGACCCGUCUUGAAC
rnacentral:rRNA from 1 species